UGCAGUCGAGCGGCAGCGUAAAAGAAGUUUUUUUUCUUUGUCGGCGAGCGGCGGACGGGUGAGUAAUGUAUGGGGAUCUACCUUAAGGAGUGGGAUAACUAUUAGAAAUGAUAGCUAAUACCACAUAAUCUCUGAGGAGCAAAGUGGGGGACUCUUUUAAGAGCCUCAUGCCUUUAGAUGAACCCAUAUGAGAUUAGCUAGUAGGUAAGGUAAUGGCUUACCUAGGCUACGAUCUCUAGCUGGUCUGAGAGGAUGACCAGCCACACUGGGACUGAGACACGGCCCAGACUCCUACGGGAGGCAGCAGUGGGGAAUAUUGCACAAUGGGCGAAAGCCUGAUGCAGCUAUGCCGCGUGUAUGAAGAAGGCCUUCGGGUUGUAAAGUACUUUCAGUUGUGAGGAAGGAAUUAAAGUUAAUACCUUUGAUUAUUGACAUUAGCAACAGAAGAAGCACCGGCUAACUCCGUGCCAGCAGCCGCGGUAAUACGGAGGGUGCAAGCGUUAAUCGGAAUUACUGGGCGUAAAGGGCACGCAGGUGGUUAAUUAAGUUGGAUGUGAAAUCCCUUGGCUUAACCUUGGAAUUGCAUUCAAAACUGAUUAGCUAGAGUCUUGUAGAGGGAGGUAGAAUUCCAUGUGUAGCGGUGAAAUGCGUAGAGAUAUGGAGGAAUACCAGUGGCGAAGGCGACCUCCUGGACAAAGACUGACGCUCAUGUGCGAAAGCAUGGGGAGCAAACAGGAUUAGAUACCCUGGUAGUCCAUGCUGUAAACGAUGUCGAUUUGGAGGUUGUGACUUUAUUUGUUGUGGCUUCCGUAGCUAACGCGUUAAAUCGACCGCCUGGGGAGUACGGCCGCAAGGUUAAAACUCAAAUGAAUUGACGGGGGCCCGCACAAGCGGUGGAGCAUGUGGUUUAAUUCGAUGCAACGCGAAGAACCUUACCUACUCUUGACAUCCAAAGAAGUGAACAGAGAUGUUUAUGUGCCUUCGGGAACUUUGAGACAGGUGCU
rnacentral:rRNA from 1 species